AACGCACAUUGCACUCUCUGGUAUUCCGGAGAGUAUGCUUGUUUGAGUAUCUGUAAACAUCUCAAAUCUCCCAGCGCUUGCGCAAAAGAGAAUUGGAUUUGAGCGAUCCCGACUCCUUCGUCAGAAAGAGGAGGGCCGCUUGAAAUGCAGGUGCAGCUGGACAUUCUUCUGAGCUAAAAGCAUAUCUAUUUAGUCCCUUCAAACGGAUUAUUACUUUUGCUUCAGCUAAUAUAAAGGUCGAAUGAACAACCAACGCUGAUUGCAGGAAAACUCGUUCUUAACCGAACUUGUGAACUCGAUCUCAAAUCAAGUAAGACUACCCGCUGAACUUAA
rnacentral:rRNA from 1 species